ACAUUCUUCCUUUCGAAGACCAACCGGAGCUCCUCAAAAGACCACCAAUUCAAUAUACUUUUAUUGAGGAUGAAGAUUGGACAAUAUUUGUCAAAGAUAGAUUGUCUGACAACUUUAAGAUGGUUGCAAGUGGAUCAACUGAAACUAUUGAUCGAAGCAUAUUGUGGAA